rnacentral:tRNA from 1 species
GCCCGCUUGGUGGAAUGGUUAACACGUCUCCCUCUCAAGGAGAAGAUUACGGGUUCGACCCCCGUAGUGGGUACCA